CGCUGCAUCUGAGCAUAGGAGGCUGCGUUAUUUAUUUGAGAUUAAAAGAGAGCUGUGCCUGAAUCCACUGUUGUCAAGGAGUUAAAAGCAGUGAAUUCCACUAAAAUGGUCAGGUUUUGGUAAAGAGUUGGAAACAUCCUGUAUCUGAGAUCCUUUCCACAGAGUGAUACAGAUCCAGACGAUCUCCCAGAGAUUCAUAGAUUCCCAGUCCAGGUGGCUGGGUGGCGAGCCAACCGUGUUUGAUUCUGACUUUAGACGGAUUGUCAGGAUCUCCUUCUUCAUCCUUAUGGUGGUAGGACAAACACUGACAUAAACUCAAAAGGGCCCCAACAUUGAUUACUGAACUCUUGUCAACGAAGGCAAGUGGAACUGAGCUCAAAGAAAUUUAAAGACAAGGGAUUUAUUUAUGUGCGCACUUUAUUAUUUUAGUUUGUUAUUUUUCAUAAUUGUUUUCUUAUAUGUAUGUACCAGCCAUAUGUAAUUAAUACACUUGUUACAAA